CUAACAAGGAUUCCCCUAGUAACGGCGAGUGAAGCGGGAAGAGCUCAAAUUUGAAAUCUGGCGGUCUUCGGCCGUCCGAGUUGUAGUUUCGAGAAGCGUUUUCCGCGUCGGACCGUGUACAAGUCCCUUGGAACAGGGCGUCGUAGAGGGUGAGAAUCCCGUCUUUGACACGGACUGCCGGUGCUCUGUGAUGCGCUCUCAAAGAGUCGAGUUGUUUGGGAAUGCAGCUCAAAAUGGGUGGUAAAUUCCAUCUAAAGCUAAAUAUUGGCGAAAGACCGAUAGCGAACAAGUACCGUGAGGGAAAGAUGAAAAGCACUUUGGAAAGAGAGUUAAACAGUACGUGAAAUUGUUGAAAGGGAAACGCUUGAAGUCAGUCGCGUCUCUCGGGACUCAGCCUUGCUCUUCUGCUUGGUGCACUUCCCGAGGCGACGGGCCAGCAUCGAUUUCGACCGUCGGAGAAAGGCUUUGGGAACGUGGCACCUCCGGGUGUGUUAUAGCCCAUGGUCGUAUGCGACGGCUGGGAUCGAGGUUCGCAGCACGCCUUCAUUGGCCGGGGUUCGCCCACGUAACGUGCUUAGGAUGCUGGCGUAAUGGCUUUAAACGACCCGUCUUG
rnacentral:rRNA from 2 species